rnacentral:lncRNA from 1 species
CGCUUUGAGUCCGGCUGAUGUUGGAGAAAGGCGCUAUAUGAAUUUCAUUAUCAUUAUUCACUGUCCACACUAUGAAUGUGCAUGUUCCUCAUACUGUGCAUGUGCAUGUUCAUUGUUCACACCUGUAGGCAGACUGAACUUCGGGCUAUCAAUAGCUGCAUACAUUCUUCCGGUUGUCGGCCUCAUCUUGGAUGUGCUGGUGGACGAAACGGGGACAUGGCAUUCACCUGAAUCAACCACAGCAGACGGCAUCUGUCAAGAGAACAUCCCUGAAACGCGCGCUGAAGUCUCUGUGCUGUCAACCGUGUCCUCCCCACUGCACCCGACGACGAGACCACGCCCACCAACCCGUGUGCGACCCUGAAGCCCCGUCUGUCACCUAUGACCUCGUUCCUUCAUCCCAGAGCAGUGCAACGACAGCGGCACAGCAGCAACAGCAGCAACAGCAGCAGCGAAUCCGGCAGCAGAAGUAGCCUCGCUGUCAGCUGAACAGAAAGAUGGGGAGUUUGGGGUGUGGAGGAGGAAGGAUGGAGACGGAAGCAGAAAGACUGCAGAGAUUGCAGGACUGAAGUCAAGUUUAAUAACCACAGUGAUAUCGCGUGUGGUGACAUUCGGCAGGUUCGCGAGUGUGUGCGAGGACAUGACAUUUUCAUUAUUUUUGUUUUGUUUAUUCAUUGUUACUCCCCGAGGCAGCAACACCACCUCCAGCGGACCCGGUAUAUGGCAGCACCCCGUCAGUUGGGCCCAGGUGGUUCCCACGUCCUUUGCCUCGCUCUCUACUGUUCUUUUCCAAGUCUGCUUUGGUCUCCCAACUCUCCUCUUCCCCUGAGGAUUCCAGUCAAGUGCCUGCGUGGCAAUGGUGUCAGCUGGUUUGUGCAGUGUAUGUCCUAUCCAGCUCCAGUUGUGCUUUGUGAUGUCUUGUGGCAUUCUGGUUGAAUCUUUUCCACAGGCAGCUGUUGAUCUUUUCAGGCCAUCUUAUUCCCAGAAUAUGGCGUAGGCAUCGGUUGGCAAAGCUCUAGAGCUUGUUGUUGAUGGUGUUUAUUUUUUUAUUAUUUAAAAAAUCAUAUUUCAUUGAACUGGCCAGUCACUUUAGUUCAUAUUUUCAUUAAGUUGCCUAGUAUUUUUGUUCACCCUUCGACUAACCAGCCAGUCAUGUUUAUUAAUAUUUCAGUAGACUGGCCAGUCACUGCUGACAAUCCGAUGAACAAACAAUUCAUUUUUGUGCGCUGUUCGAUGAACUGGUCAGUUAUUUCUGUUUACAUUUCCAGGUUGCCAGUCAUUUUCAUUUAAAUGUCGAUGUUAUUUUUUGUCCCAUAAAUAUCGCCAGUGUGGAAGUAGAUCUUUCCUAUUUAUCAUUAUUUGGAACUGUCUUCAAGCUUUUUUUCUGUCAUGGCCUUUACCCGAAGGAUUUUUCACGUAUGAAUGCAGUUUAUGAUUCUUGUUUACCUUUCUCUGCAAGAUGGUGAGUGAAUGAAUGAAUCUAUCAUUGUUGUUUUAUCCUUAAUGCUCAUGAUUGAAAGUAAAGUGAACAAGAAUUAUUAUUAUUAUUUCAUUUUGUUGUCUUUUUUCAAAAAAUAAAUAAUUCGAAAGGAA